ensembl:lncRNA
GGAGAGACCGAUGGUAAUUUGAAUACAGUUGGAACCAAGAUGAGCUGAAGUCCCUGGGACAGUAGAGAGUUCCUUGCCUGUCAGCACCUUUCCAUACUCUGAAUGAGAUAACAGGUGACAGGUGUAGGUAAUUGCCAUUAGUGUUAAGUGUCUUCCUCUUCAUGGAGUUCAGGUGAGGGUGCUGUGCCCUUUCCUCUCUUUGGUGAGUCUGAUAGGUUCUUGGGCCUGAUUUUCCUGAUUAUUUCAAUUCCCCCCAAUUCUCAAUGAUCCCAAUUUUAAUAAAUUUAUAGGGUGACACCCUUUUUAUUUUUAGGAAUAAGGUAUUUAUCAGUCUGUGCUUUGUGUGGUGAAGAGUGGUAAGGCUGUUCACCUGCCAAAAACUGCUUGUAAAAUGGAGUCAUUAUGGGCAAGCCUAACCUGGGGAAAAAAACCAGCACUGUUUUAUACAAUAUGGAGUAACUUGGAGCCAGCAUAUGGCCUGUUCUCAACACUCCAAAAUUCUGUCUUAAAAACAAAACAAAAAAACCCACCUGACUCAACAUGGAGGACACAAAAAUGAUUUCUCCUGCUUUUCAAGAAACAUAAGAAAAUGAGGACACUGGUGACACAGGUGCUUUCAAUUACAGAUAGAAAGGCAUGACUGAUAAACUAUCAUUUAGGAAGACUGGGGGGCUCUGGGCUGUGAUCUUUAUAGUUCUUAUAGCUUCUUUUCUCCGGGUAUUAAAAUGGUCGACACACAUAUCACAUCUUUACCCCACAUCCAUUGUAACGAUAAUUCUUUCCAACAGUCGCCUGAGUUCUGCCGCCUCAGUAGGUCCCAAAUAACACACAGAGAUUAAUAUUAGUUACAAUACUGCUGGCCAAUGACUAGGAUUUCUUAUUUUCUAGCUCUGUCUUAAGUGUUAACCAUAACCAUUAAUCUAUAUAUUUUAUAAAGACUUAUCAAGGACGCCAGUGGCAUGCGUCCUCUCUUUGUGGGAUCACAUGGUCACUCUCCUUUUACUACAUUUCCCAGAACCCUCCUUGACUCCUAACCCCACCUGUCUUGCUUCCCUAUUGGCCAACAGUGCUUUAUUUAUCAACCAAUUAAACAAACAUAUACACAGAAGGACUUCCCCCAUUAAUCCAUCAAAAAAUUUUCAUCUCCCAGAUUUGCCCUUUGGUUGUGUAGCAAUUUCCUCUACAUUGAAACACUCCAUUGUUGGGAGCCAAAUCUCAGGGCUUGGCAUGAGAUCCUAGGCCAUGCUUGGCAGGCCACAUAGUUAAUUAACCUUUACAUAGCAGCUCCUUAGAACCUCAGCUCAAGAAAAGAAACAACUUGACCCAGUCCUCCACCCACAGGCUCAGUCACCUAGGCAACCCCUUCCUGGACCUCUUACCCAUAAACUCUUUACCCUGCCAAACAUCCUCCUACCUAUUUGUAGCUUCCUAAUAUCCUGCCUAUACUAACACCUGGUACACAAACAACCCAUUCUGCCCCUCCCCAUAUCCUGACUAUAUAAGCUAGCCUGAGAAAAGUAAAGUUUGCCACUUGAUCAGAAUUCUGUCUUGUGGUCAUUCUUUCUGCGUCUCUUGUCCCCAUUCCCUAUCCCUGACUCUCUUGCCUCAGGUUGAUGCCCUGCAGGUCGGGACACUCCAUCAUAGAGAAAGGAUCCUUAAAACUCAGAGCUUAAUGAAAUGAAACUUACCAGGCUGGAGGAAUAGACAUUUUACAAGUCUCAGUAUGCUCCUGAAACUUACAAGACAGGCAAGGCCUUUCCUGGGAGUCAUAUACACAGGAGCUUACUGGGAAGUGGAGAUCCCAGGCUUGCUGAACUGUCUGCAAGAGGUUCAGGGAGCUCUAGGGAUGCAGUUUUCAUGAAUUCUCAUUUUGUGCUGAGGUGGGCUUUUCAGUAAUGUAUCUGCCUUGGAGUCAUCCAUGUUCCUAUAAACCCUUGCUCAGGCUUUAUAAGUAAGUCCAAUAAACUCAUGGGUUUGCCAUGUUGGACACUGGUGAAAUCAAUACUGUCAUCUGUGCCCCAUCUGGGGUGAAUAAAUGUUUGUUCAUGUCUCCUAGGGAAAGUGACACACCUUAUCAAUAAAGAAAGACUUUUUUCCUUCUAAAAAUUCAACAGCUGUCCUAGCCUCACAUGGACCAAAGAAGAUUAUAAACUGUGAGAUCUUCCUGGAGAAAAUUAGAAACUAUCUGGCCACCCAGGAUUUGUAGAAAACAGACUUUGGGUGAGCCAAUGCAAAGCACCUGCCACAGCUGCCCAGAGCUGAGAGGGGCAGAGAUUGGUAUGAAGAACUGAUUUUCAAUCUGUAUUUGGCAACAAAAGGAAUUUAGUCCCUGUGCCUGUGUGUGGGUCCCUGCAACAUCACUAGGAAAAGGACCAGGGUGAGAUUGGUUUGGAGGCACAGCUGAGCCUUGGCCCUGAUUCAGGGUUAUUGCUCAAUACUAAUAGAAAACAGCAACACAGCAAAGGCGGCACGUUGUAUGAGGAAAGUAUUUUUCUUCUUCCCUUUCCUUUAUCCCCACCCCCAUGCACCUUUCCCCCUGCCUUCUGUCCUUCUACCCAUUCCUGGGUGUCGUUGGGGAUGACUUCUAGACUUCAUGAGACAGAAGGAAGGAGCAGGACCCUCUUCGGCACCUGAGUGUCGAUUCUGUGACUCCCCCACCCCACGCUGGAGAACUUGACCUUCAGGGCUGAGAUGACUAUAGCGUGGGCUCCAGCCAGCUGGUCUGUGUCCCUGCUGGUGAGGAAGUCAAAGUUUCACUUCCUCUGGAAACCCCACUCCCUUGACCUCAUUCCUCUGGGGGGUCUGUCACCUGCAGCAACUCCAAGGGCUCUUCUCAGAAAACUCCACACUGGAGACUCAAGAUUCUUGGCUCAUAGUAGAAAAGAAUUUCAGGACAAGCCAGUAUAAAGCAGAGUGAGUGUUUAUUAAAAGAGAUUCCACUCCACCCCAGACAGGGUUUCUCUGUGGCUGUCCUGGAACUCACUCUGUAGACCAGGCUGGUCUGGAACAGAGAUCCUCCUGCCUCUGCCUCCCGAGUGCUGGAUUAAAGGCUUGUGCCACCAACACUCGGCAUAAAAAGACUUCUUAAAUAUAUGUUUUAAAACACAAGUGUUAAGAGAGAAGAUCUAGAAAAGACACAGCACAGGUUGUGGGUGAGGCUUAGUUGUGGGUGUGGCUUCUAAGAGACACAGCUUCACUAUGUUUAUAGCAGCCAAGUAUAGCAUUUGGGUGGGUUCUAAAUCUCUUCUCUUGAAAGGGUUUUUAGAACUGAAUGAGACCACAAGGUGGCCCUGAGGGGCACAGACAGCAUUUCAAUUGAUAAGGUAACACUCUAGGUCCCUGGGAUAUAGGAAGCCAGGAUCUCUUCACUGUAAACAAAGUGGAUCAUCAUGUUGGAGACCCUCAAAAUAUGUCUGGGAGUGUGGGGGAAAGUGAGGCCCCAGCUGAGGCCUUAACAUAGGAAAUAUGUAUACGACCUAGACGUAGCAUUGUGCCCAUAACUUUCACAACUGAUGCUAUGUUGCAAUGCCUGUUUCUCAGCUCCUGAGAAGUGUCAAUCAGACUCUGAGGUGGUGGCCCUUUCCUUUCCUACAGCCCUAGAAUUUUUCCUGACUUUCCAUCUCACUUCAAAAUCACUUGAGCUAGAAUUUAUGUGCUUAGCUGGACGUGGUGCCCCACACCUUUAAUUCCAGCACUUGGGAAGCAGAGGGAGAUGAAUCUCUUAGUUCAAGGCCAGCCUGGUCUACAGAGAGUUCCAGGUCAGCUAGGACAACACAGAAAAAAACAAAACAAACAAAUAAACAAAAACCUGUCUCAAAAUAACAAAAUAAAUAAAUAAAAGAACAUAUGUGUCAAAGCCAGGCGUUGGUGGCGCACGCCUUUAAUCCCAGCACUCAGGAGGCAGAGGCAGGUGGAUCUCUGUGAGUUCGAGACCAGCCUGGUCUACAAGAGCUAGUUCCAGGACAGCCUCCAAAGUCACAGAGAAACCCUGUCUCAAAAAACCAAAAAAAAAAAAAAGAAAGAAAGAAAAGAAAAGAACAUAUGUGUCUAAUUGUAAUUCAAAGGGCUGUUUUUGUUUUGUUUUUGUUUUGGGUGGGAUUUUUUUGGGAGGGGGUUGUUUUGGUUUUGGUUUGGGUUUUUGUUUUGUUUUUGUUGUUUUUGAGACAGGAUGUUUCUAUGUAGCCCUGGCUGCUCUGGAACUCAUUAUGUAGCCCAGGCUGGCCUGGAACUCAGAGUUUAGCCGGCCUCUGGAUUAAAGGUGUGCACCAUCAUACCCAGCACAGUUGUAACUUGGAACAAUUGUUACUUGACGAUACAGAGGUUUUCGGUGGCAUUGUGAGUUCUAGUCUCAAUCCUGAUGUCUUCUACAGGCUCUGAGAAGUGGUUUCCUAAGCUUAGUGUCAUCUGAGUUCAUUGUGUCCACUCUGAGUCACCUUAUAGGUACCCAGUUCCCUGUUAGGGACUCACAGGGAGAGCUAGGGGUGACCUUUGGCUCCCCAAUACAUACAGAGAUGUAGUCCACUCACCAGACAGGAUGGGAAACUGGAAAAAGAGGUGUGGCCAGGAUUGAUAGGGACUAUAGAGUUGAAGUACAGGGAAAGCAGAGGCAACAUCUCUGGGAGGGGAACAGUCACCAAGGCAGAAGACAAAGUUAGAAUUGCUAGCAUCGUCCCACUCAUGUCCCUAUUACUAACCAUUUCGUCUGUUGUAAUUAAAAAAAAAAAAAAAGUGGCUCAAGAGAAAGACACUGUGCAGCAGAGUUCAAGAGUUUAUUAAGGGAAAAGAAUUGUAAAAAGGAGGAAAUGGGAGGGGGGAGACUGGCCUUCGGAGACUGGAGCACUAGGAGAGAGGAAAGAGAGGCAGAGAGACAGGGAGAGAAGGAGAAGGGAAGGGGGAGGGGGAGGGGGAGAAGGAGAGAGGAGGUGGGCAAGGCCCUUUUAAAAGAGAAAAUAGUGAAUGUGCACAGGUGGUACUUAGUGGCUGCAGCUGAGGGCGUAUCCUGUCAGAACUCCAAGGAUAGGCCAUAUCCUGUCAGAAUUCCAAGGACAGGCCAGUACAGAUGCCUGAAUAUUAACAGCAUCCCCAUUCCACCCUAUUUGCAUUAGAUUUGCCAUUGGCUGGAACCUGAAGUUUUUGGUGUUAGACCUAGGAGAAUGGCAGGUGUGGAUCCUGAUGCCCGGGAAGUGCCUCUGCUGGGGGUGGAGUGUUCCAAUUGCCUGACCCAGUCUACAGGAAGUGUCAGCUCUCUGUUAGCAAAGGAGUUAAGAGACAGAGAUGGUGGAAAGCCUCAGAUUCAGCCUGUCAGAAGUUAAAGGAAGACCAGGCUGACAGAAGGCAAGGCCAUCUCCUCCUCACAGAUCUACUUCCCCUGCCAAGCCACAUCUUCCUCACUCCAGGGCAGUGAGAGAAUGAUCCAGGGGAGUGCCGACACACCCAGCCUCCUCCUGGACCCAGCUGAGACCAAUGUGGGGACAAGGCAAGGAGAAUGCCAGACAAGCUGGGUUUAUGCACAAUCUAAGAGAAAGACAUGCUCCCAGAGGUGCCUAGUUAAAAUAUUCCACAACAACCAUGGCCAGCUUUUUCACCUGGGUUCUGAGAACCAAACUCGGGUCUUCAUGCUUGCAAGGCAAGCACUUUACAGAUAGCCACCUCCUCAGCACCCACCACUUUACCUCUUUUUUCUCCCAGUACCAGGAACUGAACCUAAGGCUUCGUGCGUGUGAGGCAAGUGCUCUACCACUGAGCUACAGCCCUAGCCCUGCUUUUUACUUUUUAUUUUGAGCCAGGGUCUCACUGAUUUGCCUAGGCUGGCUUCAAACUCACUCUGUCUUCCAGGCAGACCUUGAACUUGGGAUCUUCUUUUCUCAGCCUCCUGAGUAGCAGGAGUACAAACCUAGGCCACCAGUCCAUUCUGCACUUCUGACUGUUAAACUGUAUUUGAGUCUAUGAAAUGAAGAGCCAAGUACGGUGCCUGUGUUGGAGCUGCUGAGCUAUGAAUAGUCCUUUGGUGGUAAAGCAGUGGCUACAAAACCUAGGUCACUGAGCGAUCUCUCUGGUGGCUCACAACUAUCCAUAACUCGAGUUCUCGGAGAUCUGAUGUCCUCUUCUGACCUCUGCCAGCACUGCACACAUGUGAUGCAUAUUAUAUACAUGCAGGCAAAAUACUUAUGCACAUAAAAUAAAAGUAGAUAUCUAAAGUGUAGUCCCAUGAACAAUAAUAAUACAUUGAGGACACUUAGGUCACAUGGUAUACCUCACCUACAUCAUCCUCACAGUGGCUUGGGGAGAUGGAAAGAAUAGGAAUUAUGUCAUGCAGGUGGAGACAGGAGUGAGGAAGUGCUAAUUCCUGUGUCCUGCCCUGCUCUAGAUCUUUAAGGUAUACCAUUACAGGGAAUAAUUAGAACCUGCUACCCUCCCAAAGCUUGUCUCCCAUGUGCACAGCCCUUGCUACAGGCAGACUGGCUUAUUAAAAAUCAACGGGUCCCCAGGGCGUUGGUGGUGCACGCCUUUAAUCCCAGCACUUGGGAAGCAGAGGCAGGUGGAUCUCUGUGAAUUUGAGACCAGCCUAGUCUACAAGAGCUAGUUCCAGGACAGCCUCCAAAAGCCACAGAGAAAACUCUGUCUCAAAAAACAAAAACAAAACAAACAAACAAAAAAAUCAAUGGGUCCAAUGCCAAUCCAUCAAAAACCACUCCAACAAAUUCACCCUGGUGUCCUAAGUUGUCAGACUUCCAGAAAGUUUUUUUUUUUUUUUGACAACUUCCAGGAAUCAUUCCACCGCAUGGGGCUCCAACUCAGAUCAUCAAGUAAGUCAAGAUUUAUACAUCCAACUUGAUGAUCCAACUCAGAUCAUCAAGAUUUAUACAUCGAGUAAGUUUGCUCACUGAGCCACAUUGCCAGUCCUGUUUUUUUAGACACAGUCCUUCAAUGUAGCCUCUUUCAAAUUUGACAUCCUCACGGGUCUUAGGAUUAUAGGCGUGCACCACCACACUCGGUAUUAUUGUUAAUUUAAGAAAUUAUAGCCAGGUGUUGGUGGCGCACGCCUUUAAUCCCAGCACUCGGGAGGCAGAGGCAGGCGGAUCUCUGUGAGUACGAGGCCAGCCUGCUCUCCAGAGCGAGUGCCAGGAUAGGCUCCAAAGCUACACAGAGAAACCCUGUCUCGAAAAACCAAAAGAAAGAAAGAAAGAAAGAAAGGAAGGAAGGAAGGAAGGAAGGAAGGAAGAAAAAAGAAAGGAUAAUUCUCUGUGAGUUCAAGGCCAGCCUGGUCUACUGAGCAAGUUCCAGGACAGCAUCCAAAGAAAACAGAGAAACCCUGUCUCAAAACAAACAAACAAAAAAGAAACAAUAAUUCAAUACAUAAUUGAAGAUUGUCCUGGUAGUCAGCUUCUCAGGCCUCUCCUUGUCCUAGAACUUGCAUUCAUUCCUUACCAGCAGAGCUGAGGACCGAGACCCCUGAGUCACACAGGUGCACUGAGCCUGACUUAGAAGGCAAGGCUGGGCCCUCUGUUCAUAAGGCAUCUGCAGUGCUCCAGUUCUCAGAGCACAGAGCUGUGGUGCACAUUCUCCACCACACACACCCAGGCUAAGGGCUGGGCAGUGUCUUGAUUAUCCUCUCCACAAAGCACAAGCUUUCUGCUUUCAGUGGACUGGAUUAUUUAUUAAGGAUGUACUUAUGAGUGGAUGGACGGGAUAGAUGUUGGUUCUAUGUUCUUAGGGAGAAAUGAUCCUUCAAGGGCAACCAUUAGUCAUUGUAAAACUUUUAAUGUUUGUUCUUGCCCAACUCUACCCAGACAGUCCUCUUCCCUGACUCUGAAGGUGAGUUUCCAGAAAUUCUCUGUGCUAAGUAUGGUAUUAGUAUGGAUUUGGACAAGCAAGAUUUCCUGGGAGAGGACACUUUGAAUCCCAGCAUUUGAGGGGUUAAGUCAGGAGGACUGACGUGAGUUCAAGGCCAGCCUUGGCUACUCAGCAAGUACCAGGCCAGCCCAGAGUACACAGGGAGACCCAGUCUCACUAAACAAGGUCUCCUUCUCAAGACUAUUUGUCUCCAAAGCUUGAUCUCUAUGCCUGGCACAAAGAACUGUUGACAGGUAGAGCCUUCCCUUGCCCCAAAGCUAGACCCACCCUCUACCUGCUCUACAGAUGCUCUGCCUGGUGCUAUGCUGUCCUAGAUUGACUGUGCUUACCUUACCAGGACCUAGGCAGAGGUGAAGGACAGGAAUUUAUUCCUCUGGGAAACAAGAGUUUAAACUCAAGACAGCAGCCCUACUGUCAGUGGAGAAGGGAGGCAUGAAGAAAACAGCAUCCCAAGGGAAGAAUGGGGAUCAGUAGGUGACAAUGGGCUAAGAGGAGGCCAUGCGGACUCAGAAAUACCUAGACAUCUUCUUCAUGCUGCUGACCAAGAUCCUCCUGAAGGAACUGAGAUUCAGAUGUAAACUGAAACUAGGGCAAGAGAUGGCUCAGUUGCUAGACUGCUUCCCCAGCAUGCAGGAAGCCCUGGGCUGGAUCCCCAGCACCACAUAAACCAAGCAUGUGGCACCCACUUGUGAUCCCAGCACUCACAGCGUGGAGAUAGGAGGAAGAUUGGGACUUCAAGGUCAUCCUCAGAUACAUAACUAUGAGAAAGCCAACAUGGUCACACACCACUCGUGGGAGGUGGUGCCAUCCUAUGGAAAAGAACUUGGCAAUGCUUAGUUUGCCCUUUGACCCACACCCCACUUCCAGGAACCUAUCCUAAAGAUCCAUGGCAAACAAUACAGAAAGUCCUGGGACAAGGUUAUUUACUGAAGCUCUCUGUGACAGUCAAGGCCUGGGAGGAAGCCAAAUAUCCAGAAUAAGAGAGUGGAUAUAACCAGCACAUCACACAAGAAACUGCUCUGAACCAUGGAAGGAACAAGGAAGACCUCUACGAAUAAAUACAAAGUGAACCUCGGGGCACCUUGUUAAAGGGAAAAACAUGACUGAGAAAGUGGGGGAGAUGCACUCAGAAACAAGUGUUUGUCUAGAAAGGAAGAAGACAAAAGGCAAAUUUGGAAGUGUCGCUAUGCACAUCCUCAUAAACAUAGGUGGUUUAAGUAGAGUCGUGUAGAGAGAAGAGACUCCAGAAUCCUUUAAGUGGACCUUAUUUUUGUAUGUGGCAUGACUCUAUUUGUUUUACAUAAUUAUAAAAUUAUAUUAGGGGCUGGGGAAAUAGCUCAGUGGGGCAAAAGCAUUUGUUGCCUUUGCAGAGGACCUGGGUUCAAUUCCCACCGCCCGCAUCCAAUGCCCUCUUCUGUCCUCCUUGGACACCAGGUAUUUACAUGGUACACAUACAUACCAUGUAAAUACCAUGCAGGCAAAGCAUUCAUACACAUAAAAUAAAAUGAAUAAAACUUUUUAAAAUUAAUAACAUUGCCGGGCGUUGGUGGCGCACGCCUUUAAUCUCAGCACUUGGGAAGCAGAGGCAGGUGGAUCUCUGUGAGUUUGAGACCAGCCUGGUCUACAAGAGCUAGUUCCAGGUCAGCCUCCAAAGCCACAGAGAAACCCUGUCUUGCAAAAACAAAAACAAAAACAAAAACAAAAAAACAUUAAAUUAAAAUUUGCGCUUAUUUAUCUUGCACGUGUAUAUGUGUGCGGGCACCGUCCUACAGCAUGCAUGUGACUGUCAGAGGACAACUCUCAAGAGUAAUUCUCUGCUACCAUGCGGGUCCUGGGGAUCAAAUUCAGAUCAUCAGGCUUAGCAGCAAGCACCUUCACCCA